rnacentral:rRNA from 1 species
AACGAACGCUGGCGGCAGGCCUAACACAUGCAAGUCGAGCGCGCCCUUCGGGGUGAGCGGCGGACGGGUGAGUAACGCGUGGGAACGUGCCCUUCUCUGCGGAAUAGCCUCGGGAAACUGAGAGUAAUACCGCAUACGCCCUUUGGGGGAAAGAUUUAUCGGAGAAGGAGCGGCCCGCGUUGGAUUAGGUAGUUGGUGGGGUAAUGGCUCACCAAGCCGACGAUCCAUAGCUGGUUUGAGAGGAUGAUCAGGCACACUGGGACUGAGACACGGCCCAGACUCCGACGGGAGGCAGCAGUGGGGAAUAUUAGACAAUGGGGGCACCCCUGAUCUAGCCAUGCCGCGUGAGUGAUGAAGGCCUUAGGGUUUUAAAGCUCUUUCAGCUGGGAAGAUAAUGACGGUACCAGCAGAAGAAGCCCCGGCUAACUCCGUGCCAGCCGCCGCCGUAA